ACCGCUAUUUGAUAAGUUCCUACGUGGAACGGAACGUUCCACAGCUGUCAAAAUAAUUUUACAGAACCUAUUGUAAUUGUUUAAGGGUUCAUUGACAUCAUACUCGAAAUCCAAAAGUAAUUGAUUAACAGUUUCAGAAUAAAGAUCCCAAUUAACGAGACAUGCUGCAACGCUCAGAAUUCUUACAGAAUUUAGCUAAAUGUCCAUACCUCAAGCACCGGUAGCAUUGUUUAACUGGUGGUAUAUAUGGAGUGACAUUGUGGCGCCAACCUCCAAUAUCCAGAUAUUCAGGUAAUACAGAUGCAGCAAAAGUAAUUGUCACGGUUAGAGUUGGCUGUAACACAUAUCCAUGAGUCAAGGAGGAGAGUGAGAGCAAGUCUCUGGAUCCAAUGGUUUUCUGACUAUCUGAGGAUUCUACAAAGACAACAAAUUCUGUCCCAGGGGAUUCCUCGGGAUAUCUUCUAAUAUAAUCUGUGACGUAGUAAGGUUUAUACUUAUCGGCCUUAUCAAUUUCAGAUUCUGAGUCAGUAGAAGUAUCUUCCGAAUAUAUAUCCUUGUCAUUACAAGGUUCAUGGUCUACAUCACCUGAAUCGUCAUCUUUUUUUUUCCUUUUCCUACAACUGCGCUUCCCCAAGAAUGCUAAUUAUAUUACUGUCACU